AUUGGACGCUAGCGGGAUGCUUUACACAUGCAAGUCGAACGGCAGCGCGGACUUCGGUCUGGCGGCGAGUGGCGAACGGGUGAGUAAUGUAUCGGAACGUGCCCAGUAGCGGGGGAUAACUACGCGAAAGCGUAGCUAAUACCGCAUACGCCCUACGGGGGAAAGCAGGGGAUCGUAAGACCUUGCACUAUUGGAGCGGCCGAUAUCGGAUUAGCUAGUUGGUGAGGUAACGGCUCACCAAGGCGACGAUCCGUAGCUGGUUUGAGAGGACGACCAGCCACACUGGGACUGAGACACGGCCCAGACUCCUACGGGAGGCAGCAGUGGGGAAUUUUGGACAAUGGGGGCAACCCUGAUCCAGCCAUCCCGCGUGUGCGAUGAAGGCCUUCGGGUUGUAAAGCACUUUUGGCAGGAAAGAAAUGUCGCGGGCUAAUACCCCGUGGAACUGACGGUACCUGCAGAAUAAGCACCGGCUAACUACGUG
rnacentral:rRNA from 1 species